rnacentral:misc_RNA from 1 species
CACGAACCGUGCGAACGUUAUUCGGAAUCACUGGGCUUAAAGCGUGCGUAGGCGGCCUGGAAGGUGAGGUGUGAAAUCCCUCGGCUCAACCGAGGAAUUGCGCUUCAAACCACCAGACUCGAGGGAGAUAGAGGUGAGCGGAACUGAUGGUGGAGCGGUGAAAUGCGUUGAUAUCAUCAGGAACACCGGUGGCGAAAGCGGCUCACUGGGUCUCUUCUGACGCUGAGGCACGAAAGCUAGGGGAGCGAACGGG